AAGCAGAGGGGGCUUAGUGGUGGGGUGACUGCGUACCUUUUGUAUAAUGGGUCAGCGACUUAUAUUCUGUAGCAAGGUUAACCGUAUAGGGGAGCCGGAGGGAAACCGAGUCUUAAUUGGGCGUUAAGUUGCAGGGUAUAGACCCGAAACCCGGUGAUCUAGCCAUGGGCAGGUUGAAGGUUGGGUAACACUAACUGGAGGACCGAACCGACUAAUGUUGAAAAAUUAGCGGAUGACCUGUGGCUGGGGGUGAAAGGCCAAUCAAACCGGGAGAUAGCUGGUUCUCCCCGAAAGCUAUUUAGGUAGCGCCUCGUGAAUUCAUCUUCGGGGGUAGAGCACUGUUUCGGCUAGGGGGUCAUCCCGACUUACCAACCCGAUGCAAACUGCGAAUACCGGAGAAUGUUAUCACGGGAGACACACGGCGGGUGCUAACGUCCGUCGUGAAGAGGGAAACAACCCAGACCGCCAGCUAAGGUCCCAAAGUCAUGGUUAAGUGGGAAACGAUGUGGGAAGGCCCAGACAGCCAGGAUGUUGGCUUAGAAGCAGCCAUCAUUUAAAGAAAGCGUAAUAGCUCACUGGUCGAGUCGGCCUGCGCGGAAGAUGUAACGGGGCUAAACCAUGCACCGAAGCUGCGGCAGCGAACGUAUCACUUAAAGCGAUUCAGCGGGUUACGAUUGACGGAGCGAAGCGACGUCAAAGCGUAUACAAAGUCGAGUCGGUUUAAGGAUACGUUCGUUGGGUAGGGGAGCGUUCUGUAAGCCUGUGAAGGUGUGUCGUGAGGCAUGCUGGAGGUAUCAGAAGUGCGAAUGCUGACAUAAGUAACGAUAAAGCGGGUGAAAAGCCCGCUCGCCGGAAGACCAAGGGUUCCUGUCCAACGUUAAUCGGGGCAGGGUGAGUCGACCCCUAAGGCGAGGCCGAAAGGCGUAGUCGAUGGGAAACGGGUUAAUAUUCCCGUACUUGGUGUUACUGCGAAGGGGGGACGGAGAAGGCUAUGUUGGCCGGGCGACGGUUGUCCCGGUUUAAGCGUGUAGGUGUGUGUUCCAGGUAAAUCCGGUUCACUUUAACACUGAGGCGUGAUGACGAGGCACUACGGUGCUGAAGCAACAAAUGCCCUGCUUCCAGGAAAAGCCUCUAAGCAUCAGGUAACAUCAAAUCGUACCCCAAACCGACACAGGUGGUCAGGUAGAGAAUACCAAGGCGCUUGAGAGAACUCGGGUGAAGGAACUAGGCAAAAUGGUGCCGUAACUUCGGGAGAAGGCACGCUGACAC
rnacentral:rRNA from 1 species